UGCCUGCUCCCAGCCGGCACCCAUAACCCAUUGGUGUUUUCUCUUCACAGUGAAAGAAGCCGGAAGAGAUUUUACCUAUUUAAUAGUGGUGCUUUUUGGAAUCAGCAUUACAGGUUGCAAAAAACAGCAAGUAUAAGCCCUUGAAUAUUUUUUAAGCUGGAUUUUUUAUGUUGCCCUUGCUUCACUUCAUCUUUGUUUUCUGUGAUUUCAGGUGGCUUGUUUUACACGAUUUUCAAAGAACUUUUUUCUUCAUCCAGUCCUAGCAAGAUAUAUGGGAGAGCCUUAGAAAAAUGCAGAUCACAUCCUGAGGUGAUCGGUGUCUUUGGUGAGUCUGUUAAAGGCUAUGGGGAGGUGACAAGGCGGGGUCGCCGGCAGCAUGUCAGGUUCACUGAAUAUGUAAAAGAUGGGCUGAAACACACGUGUGUGAAAUUCUACAUUGAGGGCUCUGAGCCAGGGAAGCAAGGAACGGUGUAUGCGCAAGUGAAAGAGAACCCAGGAAGUGGUGAAUAUGAUUUUCGAUAUAUAUUUGUAGAAAUUGAAUCUUAUCCUAGAAGAACUAUUAUCAUUGAAGAUAAUCGAUCCCAAGAUGA
rnacentral:sRNA from 1 species